CCUGGGAUGCAGGCGAGUUAGGAGAAAUCUAACAAUCGAUAAAUAUUCCUUGGGUCUACUGUGUGCCAGG
ensembl:miRNA eca-mir-493a eca-mir-493a